GACUUCCCCGCUGUCUCCAACACCAGCUCGGCGAAAUUGAAUUCCCCGUGAAGAUGCGGGGUACCCGCAGUUAGACGGAAAGACCCCGUGCACCUUUACUACAACUUUGCAGUGGCAUUAGAGAAUGGAUGUGUAGGAUAGGCGGGAGCCUUUGAAGCAUUGGCGCUAGCUAGUGUGGAGGCAACCUUGAAAUACCGCCCUUUUGUUCUUUGAUGUCUAACCGCGGUCGGUUAUCCCGAUCCGGGACCCUGCAUGGUGGGUAGUUUGACUGGGGCGGUCGCCUCCCAAAGAGUAACGGAGGCGCGCGAUGGUGGGCUCAAGCUGGUCGGAAAUCAGCUGCUGAGUGCAAUGGCACAAGCCCGCCUGACUGCGAGACUGACAAGUCGAGCAGGGACGAAAGUCGGCCAUAGUGAUCCGGUGGUUCCGCGUGAGUGGGCCAUCGCUCAACGGAUAAAAGGUACGCCGGGGAUAACAGGCUGAUACCACCCAAGCGUCCACAGCGACGGUGGUGUUUGGCACCUCGAUGUCGACUCAUCACAUCCUGGGGCUGGAGCAGGUCCCAAGGGUUCGGCUGUUCGCCGAUUAAAGUGGUACGUGAGUUGGGUUCAAAACGUCGUGAGACAGUUUGGUCCCUAUCUGCUGUGGGUGUUCGAGACUUGAGAGGAGCCGUCCUUAGUACGAGAGGACCGGGAUGGACUUACCUCUGGUGUACCGGUUGUGACGCCAGUCGCAGCGCCGGGUAGCUAUGUAGUGAAGGGAUAAACGCUGAAAGCAUCUAAGCGUGAAACCCGCCUCAAAACUAGGUCUCGCUGAGAGUCGUGGUAGACCACCACGUUGAUAGGCCGCGUGUGCAAGUGCAGUGAUGCAUUCAGCUUAGCGGUACUAAUAGCUCGAUCGGCUUGAUUCUCAUU
rnacentral:rRNA from 1 species